UAGUUAAACCGUUAAUGUAGCUGA
rnacentral:siRNA from 1 species